rnacentral:rRNA from 1 species
UACGUAGGUGGCAAGCGUUGUCCGGAUUUACUGGGCGUAAAGAGCGCGCAGGCGGUCGUUCAAGUCGCGUGUGAAAGCCCCCGGCUCAACUGGGGAGGGUCACGCGAUACUGAUCGACUCGAAGGCAGGAGAGGGUAGUGGAAUUCCCGGUGUAGUGGUGAAAUGCGUAGAUAUCGGGAGGAACACCAGUGGCGAAGACGACUUACUGGACACAUAUUGACGCUGAGGUGCGAAAGCGUGGGGAGCAAACAGG